GUUGGAAGUUUUUUUUUUUUUUAUAUUUUGUGUAAAAAUCUUAUUUUAUUAAUUAUAAUGUUUAGAGAUGUGAAUGCCUGUUAUAAAAUCCGGUAUUUAAUUUGAUUGUUUGCAUGAUUAAUUUGUAGUUAAAAGAACCUUUAACUCAAUGUUGCACUUCAGCUUUUAAAAUAUUGUCGUCAUUGCCGGAAAGUGAUAUAUUCAAAAAGUUAUAUAACCGAAUAGCACAAGUAAAGUUUAAAUUUAUUAAAAUUGCAUAUAUAAAACAUUAUAUAUAAUCUAAUUUUGUUGUUAACCCCAACAAGAUUUUAUUAACAGUUUCCGCUAUGAUCACCGCAU